GAUGAACGCUGGCGGCGUGCCUAAUACAUGCAAGUCGAGCGAACAGACGAGGAGCUUGCUCCUCUGACGUUAGCGGCGGACGGGUGAGUAACACGUGGAUAACCUACCUAUAAGACUGGGAUAACUUCGGGAAACCGGAGCUAAUACCGGAUAAUAUAUUGAACCGCAUGGUUCAAUAGUGAAAGACGGUUUUGCUGUCACUUAUAGAUGGAUCCGCGCCGCAUUAGCUAGUUGGUAAGGUACCGGCUUACCAAGGCAACGAUGCGAAGCCGACCUGAGAGGGUGAUCGGCCCCACUGGAACUGAGACACGGUCCAGACUCCUACGGGAGGCAGCAGUAGGGAAUCUUCCGCAAUGGGCGAAAGCAUGACGGAGCAACGCCGCGUGAGUGAUGAAGGUCUUCGGAUCGUAAAACUCUGUUAUUAGGGAAGAACAAAUGUGUAAGUAACUAUGCACGUCUUGACGGUACCUAAUCAGAAAGCCACGGCUACCUACGUG
rnacentral:rRNA from 1 species